AGACUCGUGGCAGUAGCUCAGUACCAGUGGCCAAACUACCCUAUAGAUCGGCCAACCUCGGGAAACUGAGCUAUCCGGAUAACGCUUUCAGCUUGAGUGGCGAGAGCUGAAACGUUCAGCGCUACAGAAUGUGGCUGCGGCCGAUUAGUAGACGGUGGGGUAACGGCCCACCGUGCCAGUAAUCGGUACGGGUUUGAGAGCAAGAGCCCGGAGACGGUAUUUGAGACAAGAUUCCGGGCCCUACGGGGGCAGCAGGCGCGGAACCUUUACCAUGCACGCGAGUGCGAUAAGGGGACUUCAGGUGCGAGGGCAUAUCGUUCUUGCUUUUCUCGGCCGUAGGGAGGUUGAGGGACUAGUUCUUGGCAAGGCCGGUGCCAACCGGCGCCGUAAUUCCGGCAGCACAGAUGAUGGCCGGUGAUAAUGGGCCUUAAGCGUCCGUAGCUGGCCCGACAAGUUCAUUGGGAAAUUUGUGAGCCUAACGCACAGGCGUUCGGUGGAAACUGCCUGGCUUGGGACCGGAAGGCUCGAGGGGUAAGUUUGGGGUUGGAAUGAAAUUCCGUAAUUCUGGGCGGGCCCCCGGUGGCGAAAGCGCCUCUGGAAGGCGGAUUCGGCGGUGAAGGAAGAAAGCUCGGGUCCCGGACCGGAUUAGAUUCCCGGGUAGUUCGAGCUGUUAACGAUGUUUGGUAGGUGUGACACCGGCUUCGAACCUGUGUUGUUCCGUAGGGAAACCGUGAAGCCGGCCGCCUGGGAAGUACGUUCGCAAGGAUGGAACUUAAAGGAAUUGGCGGGGGAACCAUACCACCGGAAGAACCUGCGGUUUAAUUGGACUUAACGCCGGACAUUUUCCCAGCAUUGGCCGUGAGCAGUGACGGUCAGUGUGAUGAGCUUACUUGAGCCACUGAGAGGAGGUGCAUGGCCGCCGUCAGCUCGUACCGUGAGGCGUCCUGUUAAGUCAGGCAACGAGCGAGACCCGCACCCUUAAUUGCCAGCAACACCCUUGUGGUGGUUGGGUACAUUAGGAGGACUGCCAGUGCCAAACUGGAGGAAGGAACGGGCAACGGUAGGUCAGUAUGCCCCGAAUGUGCUGGGCGACACGCGGGCUACAAUGGUCGAGACAGUGGGAUGCCACCCCGAAAGGGGACGCUAAUCUCCGAAACUCGAUCGUAGUUCGGAUUGAGGGCUGAAACUCGCCCUCAUGAAGCUGGAUUCGGUAGUAAUCGCGCCUCAGAAGGGCGCGGU
rnacentral:rRNA from 1 species